rnacentral:lncRNA from 1 species
CGUGAAACAAUUUUUCCCCCAUUCUGCAAAUUCCCAACAGUAAAACAAAUAUUCAUCAGAAUACAAACAUCCCCGCAUCAGUUCACAGCAAAGAAGGUAGUCUUUCUUUUGUUCAAUACAUGUACAGAAUGCUAUUAGCAAUAGGGAAGAUGGACCUAACUACAACAAACAAGUUAAGUAUAGCAUAACUAACAACAGUAUACUUUCUUCUAUCAAAACUUUAGCUUUCCAGUAAGCAAUAAGGAAAACAAUCAUAAACAUAGGAUUUUGAGCUGAUAAAGGA